CAACAGGGAUUGCCCUAGUAACGGCGAGUGAAGCGGCAACAGCUCAAAUUUGAAAUCUGGCCCUCGAGUCCGAGAUGUAAUUUGUAGAGGAUGCUUUUGGCGCGGUGCCUUCCGAGAUCCCUGGAACGGGACGCCUUAGAGGGUGAGAGCCCCGUACGGUUGGACACCAAGCCUUUGUAAAGCUCCUUCGACGAGUCGAGUAGCUUGGGAAUGCUGCUCUAAAUGGGAGGUAAAUUUCUUCUAAAGCUAAAUAUUGGCCAGAGACCGAUAGCGCACAAGUAGAGUGAUCGAAAGAUGAAAAGCACUUUGAAAAGAGGGUUAAACAGCACGUGAAAUUGUUGAGAGGGAAGCGUUUGCGACCAGACCUUUUCCUAGCGGAUCAUCCGGUGUUCUCACCGGUGCACUUCGCUAGGUCUAGGCCAGCAUCGGUUUCCGUAGGGGGAUAAAAGCUCUGGGAACGUGGCUCCUCCGGGAGUGUUAUAGCCCUCUGCAUAAUACCUUUACGGGGACCGAGGACCGCGCUUCGGCAAGGAUGCUGGCGUAAUGGUCGUCAACGA
rnacentral:rRNA from 2 species